rnacentral:tRNA from 1 species
GGGCGAGUGGCGGAAAGGUAUACGCGACGGACUUAAAAUCCGUCGGUCGCAAGACCUUGAGGGUUCAAAUCCCUCCUCGCCCA